CUAGAUUACUAACGCUAUAGUGUUGCUCUCCCAAGCUCUAAAUUGGUCCCUCCCCCCCAUGGUGCAAAUAUUCCAGUAGUGAGACCCAUCAGAGCUGCUGACUUCUCCUCAUGUCACGGAGAUGACCUUUCCCCCAACAUGAAGGACUAAUCUAUUGCCGGGGACUGAAUGUUCAUUAGCAGCAAGUUCAUUCAACCUUCC